CCUGUUGCUGGGUCGCCUGUGACAGG
rfam:Shimwellia blattae DSM 4481 = NBRC 105725, complete genome.